GAUAAACGCUGGCGGCGUGCCUAACACAUGCAAGUCGAACGCCCUUGGCAACAAGGGAGUGGCGGACGGGUGAGGAACACGUGGGUUAUCUACCUUGGGGUGAGGAAUACCGGCGAGAAAUCGCCGACAAUACCGCAUACGCUUCGCAAGAAGCAAAGUCGUAAGACGCCACAAGAUGAGCCUGCGCCCGAUUAGUUGGUUGGUGGGGUAAUGGCCUACCAAGACGGCGAUCGGUAGCUGGUCUGAGAGGACGAUCAGCCACACUGGGAUUGAGAAC
rnacentral:rRNA from 1 species